UAGCCCCACGUUAGUUGAGCCGCGCUACCGUGGCUCGGCCCGUUGAACGCCAAGAGGACGACUCUAUGUCGACCGGCUGCGGCGACCGCGGUACCGAUGUCCCGCUACGCCCAAGGGAGUGGUUCGUUUCGUCGUGGGCAUUACUCGAGAAAACCUAAAAGGUACAACGACGGCAGAGUCGGCGGCUGGUAGGAGCAGCUGCAGCAGCAACGUAAGUGGUACCUCCCACUUCUCUAGCUGUCUCCGCUGUGCUUAGGCCGAGCACAAGCACUGCCUCAUGUAAGGCAUGCUAGGUAGCCAAGUCCAGUGUUGUGACUACUGCUGAUGCUAUAGCUGCUAGCAGUGUGUUCCUUUCACGAACCCUCUCUAAGGGCCUACGAAGACAUAGUAGAGGUUGUAAAUUGUAAAAGGAGUACCUUCGUGUGAGGCUGUAGCAUUGUAGUUUGUUGGUGGCUAGAGUUUGACCCCAUAGGGCUUCAGUGGCUUAGAUCUACUCAUGGUCAUUUAAAGAAUGGUUUGCUGGACCAGGCGGAUGAGUCGACAUCGGUCCGGCACCAGCAGCAGAAUAAAAACAGCGUAGUUGGUCGUGGUGAACAUGGCCGUCGUUGCCGCCACUCGAACUGGCCAGCGGCCGCGGGCACUGUCCUGGCGAGGCGCUGGCGUCGACAAGGGCACGAAAUCCAGAGGCGGAUCACCGGAAUGGGCUGAAGGGUCGACAAGGGCUUAAAUGGCUAAAAGCACAAGAAGAAACAAAAGAGCACUUCAGUGGUACACGAGAGGAGCAAGCUAUAUUAAAGAAACCAAUAGCUGACGCACUCGUGGCGUGUCGGAGCUGAGAAAAAUUGCGUCCCUCGAUAUUAGCCCUGCAUGGAGACGGGUCCGAGGCCGUACAAGCUCUUACAAGAUUACCCAAGCGUUUCCGCAGAAUCAUUUCUAAAUGUGACCAAAAGACGGAAGAAUCGAUCAAUAAUGACAGCGAAACACCUGCUCGUGGGGUCAAAAUUCCGAAACUUCUUAUACAAAGGACAUCUAAGUAGAGGCCAUUCUGAUGGAGAUUGGCGCUUGAAGAACUAUUCAACGCCAUUACGGAAGACGGAUCAGCAGUGAAGCUGGUAUAUGAUUUUUGGUAGGUUUUGAAUUUCAGGCACAAUAGAGAAAGAUUUUAGUGAAAUACAUCACCUUAGGCAGUUCGAAAAACCCAUCGCAUUUAUAGGAGGCAAGUAUCAGAGGCCUUAAACAGCCCAAUAUCAAGAAGACCCAAGUGCACCUUUUACUAAAGGCCCCACAUUUAAGAAAAUAUCAUUAAACAAGGUUGGUAUUGAUAACGCUUUCGUGCCAAUUGUAUUUCGGUAUUCUAGCAGACGAAAGAACGUUGUUUUGAGUCAUUGCUAACCUUAAUCAUUUUCUUGUAGGUAUUAGUAUUAAACGAUGAAAUAGUAAAAAACGACAAAGUUGCCGGGCCCACCAGGCCGCGAUAUCACGGACAACUCAAACCAAGCUUGAUGCUAGUUAGGUAAUGAGGCGUACUACUAUACAAAUAUCAACGUUAAUAUUAGCAGGCAACAAUGACUGGUUGGUCAGGCGUCCACAGAGGGCCCGUCGAAUACGUUAGUCUGACAUAAUAAUCACGUUCUAACGACUACCACGCCCGACAAGAUUACCCUUUACUAAUAUCUCUGCUGACCGAGUGGAAUAAUGCGCUCUGUUCUCAAAAGGCAUUAGUGUUACACAUAGGAGUCACAUUUAUUAAAUGAUUACGAUCGAGAUUCAGGAUUGGAUCACAAGAGAAAAUUAAGUAUGUCGGAAGUAAAUCGCUAUACGACCUUCGAAGGUGUCAGCGGUCAAACGAAGGAAAUUUUGCGAUUAAACUAUUUUCAGAUGCCACAAAUUUCAGACACGAUGUUAUCAGCCUGUACUUCGUUUAUAUUACAAUUAUUUCCGUAUAUUUACUCUUUAUUGCUAGCUUAUUACAUGGCCAUAUUAAAUCACCCAAAAAAUGUCCUUACCCACUUAGCAUGGCAUUACAUGAAGGCAUAAAAUACGAUUUGUCGAAUGUGCGCAUGCCCCUAUGGUCGCAUAUAACAUAUAUAUUGAAAUAAAUGAUUAUACAUUUCUGUGUAUAUUUAUCACCA
rnacentral:lncRNA from 1 species